CAACAACAGGAAAGAAAACCGUGAACAGUCAUUACUUUCCAAGGGAGGGGGUGUGAGUAAAGAUUUCUCAUCAAACAGAAUGGAAAAAGUAUAAACCAAGUAAAAAAUAUUGUUGCAUGGUGAAGAUCAUAUCCACUGUACCUCUCGAUAUAUGAAUCCCUACUGCUCUUCAGUCAUUGGGAGGAUACAGUUGAGGACGAUCCUGGCAAGGAUGUUCCCCAUUGCAGACAGCUAGAUGACACUGCUGGAGUUGCCACAGUCAGACCUGUCUCAUUUUUUGAAGCUGUCGGAACCAAAUGCAGUAACUACCACCUUGUCCGGAUCCUGAGAUCGAGUGAUAAACAUGGACAACUGCAGAUUUAACAAGAAUUAAGUUGGAGAAGAUUUCAUGUAUUAUUGCUUUAUUAAAUCUGAUAUUUU